rnacentral:rRNA from 1 species
ACGCGUUGGGAGCUCUCCCAUAUGGUCGACCUGCAGGCGGCCGCGAAUUCACUAGUGAUUGGAAACAGAUGCUAAUACCGGAUAAGAAAGCAGAUCGCAUGAUCAGCUUCUAAAAGGCGGCGUAAGCUGUCGCUAUGGGAUGGCCCCGCGGUGCAUUAGCUAGUUGGUAAGGUAAAGGCUUACCAAGGCGAUGAUGCAUAGUCGAGUUGAGAGACUGAUCGGCCACAUUGGGACUGAGACACGGCCCAAACUCCUACGGGAGGCAGCAGUAGGGAAUCUUCCACAAUGGAUGCAAGUCUGAUGGAGCAACGCCGCGUGAGUGAAGAAGGUUUUCGGAUCGUAAAGCUCUGUUGUUGGUGAAGAAGGAUAGAGGUAGUAACUGGCCUUUAUUUGACGGUAAUCAACCAGAAAGUCACGGCUAACUACGUGCCAGCAGCCGCGGUAAUACGAUAAUCGAAUWCCCGC